UACGUAGGGGCCGAGCGUUGUCCGGAGUUACUGGGCGUAAAGCGCGCGCAGGCGGCCUGGCAAGCCCGCCGUGAAAGCCCCCGGCUCAACCGGGGAGGGUCGGCGGGGACUGCGAGGCUUGAGGGGGGCAGAGGCCGGUGGAAUGCCCGGUGUAGUGGUGAAAUGCGUAGAGAUCGGGCGGAACACCCGUGGCGAAGGCGGCCGGCUGGGCCGACCCUGACGCUGAGGCGCGAAGGCGUGGGGAGCGAACGGG
rnacentral:rRNA from 1 species